CCUACGGGAGGCAGCAGUAGGGAAUUUUCGGCAAUGGGGGGAACCCUGACCGAGCAACGCCGCGUGAAGGAAGAAGGAAUUCGUUCUGUACACUUCUGUUAUAAAGGAAGAAAGACGGAUGUAGGAAAUGACAUCCGAGUGACGGUACUUUAUGAGAAAGCCACGGCUAAAUACGUGCAAGCAGCCGCGUUAAUACGUAGGGGGCAAGCGUUAUCCGGAAUCAUGGGGGGUAAAGAGGGAGCAGGCGGCAGCAAAGGUCUGUGGUGAAAGACUGAAGCUUAAUUUCAUUAAGCAAUAGAAACCAGGCAGCUAGAGUGCAGGAGAGGAACGUGGAAUUCCAUGUGUAGCGGUGAAAUGCGUAGAUAUAUGGAGGAACACCAGUGGCGAAGGCGACGAUCUGGCCUGCAACUGACGCUCAGUCCCGAAAGCGUGGGGAGCAAAUAGGAUUAGAUACCCCAGUAGUC
rnacentral:rRNA from 1 species